rnacentral:SRP_RNA from 1 species
GUUUUGGAGGCUAGAGGUGGAUGCUGCUUGAACCCGACCAGAUCCUAACGGAAGCAGUCGUAGAGACAGUUAUUCAGGUUCUAGUCUCCUAUAAAUA